AGGAGAUAACUUGCACCCACAGAUUCACUGUGACAUCAAAUAAUGAAGACAAUUAUGACUGUGUUGUCAUUUAGAUUUGGGGCUAGAUUGGCAGAGGGCCCAGCUAAGGGGCUAUAGGAACACUCAGCCAAUUUGAAGAGAGGAGUCUCAAGAAGAGACUAAAGCUGAGCAGACUUAAGGAAGCCCUUUCAAACAAGAAAGGAAAGGCUGGCACACCGUUUUAGUGAUUGUUCAAAGCCGAGUCAUCCCAUUGUCAUUUUAGGUCAUGAAACGUUUUCAAAUGGUUUCUUUCAAACUCUCAGCCAUAGCUGAACUACAGCAUUGUAUGAAGAAGGGACCUGGAUUAAAUUCAUACAUUCAACAGAUAUUAGGUACUGGAACUACUCUAGGCCCUGGAGGGACAGUACAGAACAAGAAGUGGUGCUCCCAGCAGAGUAGCACAGACAGGAAGAAUGCAGACAAGAAAUAUAUAAAAAAUAAGGAGGACUUGCUAAUGGACUGGAUAUAGGGAAUGAGAGAAAGAGAAGAAUCUGAAAUGACUUCUAGUUUGCUGGUCGGGAAAAUGAAUGAAGGUGUAAUACACACCCCUCCUACCUCACAAGAGAAGAGAUCCACAAGGCUCAGGGCCAGAGCAUUUGUACGUCUGCAUGACCAUGCUGCUCUCACUUGGCCAUUCAUCAAGGGGAAAGCAUCAACGAACCCCAGGGGGAGGCCUCUGCUGCAGCUGAGAAAAAAUCUCUUCCUUUAAGUUUCCUCACCUCUGCUUCAAUUCCAGGACGAGUUAGUGACAACUUGAGGCAGCUGUCCUGAAAGCAACUUCCACUCCCCAAAAAAUCCUUCCACGGAUUUUCAUGUAUGGGAGAAUGAUGCAACAAAGAACUAGGAUCUUCUCAUGUCCUUUUCCCAUUUUUCUCUUCAGAGCAGUAAUAAAGCC
rnacentral:lncRNA from 1 species